ACCCACAACAAACAAUACCUAUAAACUUACAUUCAACAAUACAACAUAAACAAUUCCUUUCCUUCCCAAUUCCCAUUCCAGCAACUCCAACCGACCCAAUAUCACAAAAGCCCACCGCCCAGCCCAUUCCCAGCAUUACGCACACCUCUACAUACACCCGUGUACAGUACAUACGCACAUUCUCAUACGUCUUCUUCCUCACUUCCCCGACAGUAGUACAUCGGGAGCAAUGACUUUCGCGUCUCGUCCUUUGGCUCGCUGGAUUUGAGCCACGUAGCGGCUCGAGCAAGUUCGAUUGAAUCUCAUCUCCUUUCAUCCGAAAAUUGUUUUGAUUGAUUCCAGCAUAUUCUUGAUGCGAUUCGAGAUUUGAAAUUUGAUUUUGGCCCUUAUCCAAAAAUCGUUCAGUUUUCCCCCCAUUUUAAAAUGCUAAUUUACCUUGUAUAUAAACCCAGUCGUUCUUCAUUGAUAGCGGGGAUAGAAAAAAUGAGGUGGGAUUUGUUUUGAAAAGCCAAAGCCACAGAUUUUACUCAAAAAAUAGAAUUUUUCUUAAACCAUUAAAGAAUUCUUGAACGAAAGGUUUCUGUUCAAGGUUCUGCAGUUUUGACGUUUUUCGGUGUUCUUGAGUUUCUUUGUCGAGUGUCUAACCGUAGAGUAACAGAGAGGCGCUCAGCUCGCUCGUCCCAGAUUGCUGCCCAGGAAAAGGGCAAUCCGGUGCACUAAAGUUCCCGCUAUGCGCGGAGUCCGGGAAAGGGCCUGACCACAAGGUCUAUUGUACGCAGCCUUAUAUUGCUUUUUUACCAGAGGAUGUUUCCAAGGCUUGAACCUGUGCUCCUGGUCACAUGGAAGCAACUUUACCAGUUAGGCUCCCUUCAAUUAUAUGUUCCAUGUGUAUACUUAAAAAUUUAUCCAGUGUGCUUAUGUUGUAUAUUGUGUCCACUAUCUAAGCAUGACCUUGUAAUGAGUAAGAUUGGAAAAAUUAUAGGACGUUAGUUGUUGGUUGUUCACUAACUGUGCUGCCUUAAGACCUGCUAUUUUGGUUUCUUAGAAAAACAUUGUUCAUCUAGUAUGAUUUGUGUGGUGUUGAUGUAGCAGUAGCUCACUUGUUGGGCUUUAAUUAUUAUAGUUCA